rnacentral:rRNA from 1 species
AUUGAACGCUAGCGGGAUGCCUUACACAUGCAAGUCGAACGAGCGGCGGACGGGUGAGUAAUGUCUGGGAAACUGCCUGAUGGAGGGGGAUAACUACUGGAAACGGUAGCUAAUACCGCAUACCAUCAGAUGUGCCCAGAUGGGAUUAGCUAGUAGGUGGGGUAAUGGCUCACCUAGGCGACGAUCCCUAGCUGGUCUGAGAGGAUGACCAGGCACACUGGAACAGAGAAACGGUCCAGACUCCUACGGGAGGCAGCAGUGGGGAAUAUUGAACAAUGGGCGCAAGCCUGAUGCAGCCAUCCCGCGUGUUUGAAGAAGGCCGUCGGGUUCUAAAGCACUUGCAGCGAGGAGGCGUUACUCGCAGAAGAAGCACCGGCUAACUCCGUGCCAGCCGCCGCGGUAAUAC